UACGUAGGGGGCAAGCGUUGUCCGGAUUUAUUGGGCGUAAAGCGUCUGUAGGUGGCUUUUUAAGUCCGCCGUCAAAUCCCAGGGCUCAACUCUGGACAGGCGGUGGAAACUACCAAGCUGGAGUACGGUAGGGGCAGAGGGAAUUUCCGGUGGAGCGGUGAAAUGCGUAGAGAUCGGAAAGAACACCAACGGCGAAAGCACGCUGCUGGGCCGACACUGACACUGAGAGACGAAAGCUAGGGGAGCGAAUGGG
rnacentral:rRNA from 1 species